rnacentral:rRNA from 1 species
CCUACGGGAGGCAGCAGUGGGGAAUAUUGGACAAUGGGGGCAACCCUGAUCCAGCAAUGCCGCGUGUGUGAAGAAGGUCUUCGGAUUGUAAAGCACUUUCGACGGGGACGAUGAUGACGGUACCCGUAGAAGAAGCCCCGGCUAACUUCGUGCCAGCAGCCGCGGUAAUACGAAGGGGGCUAGCGUUGCUCGGAAUGACUGGGCGUAAAGGGUGCGUAGGCGGCGAGAUAAGUCAGGCGUGAAGUUCCUGGGCUCAACCUGGGGACUGCGUUUGAGACUGUUUGGCUAGAGGAUGGAAGAGGCUCGUGGAAUUCCCAGUGUAGAGGUGAAAUUCGUAGAUAUUGGGAAGAACACCGGUGGCGAAGGCGGCGAGCUGGUCCAUUACUGACGCUGAGGCACGAUAGCGUGGGGAGCAAACAGGAUUAGAUACCCUGGUAGUCCACGCCGUAAACGAUGUGUGCUGGAGUGUUGGGUUCGUAUAGAACCUACAGUGUCGUAGCUACGCGAUAAGACACACCGCCGUCGGGAGGUACGGCCGCGAGGUUAGUAAACGUUAAACGGUAAGUUAAGUACGGUCGUUGAGACGUUGCCGACGGCGACGACGAGGGAGGAGG